AUUGAACGCUGGCGGCAUGCUUUACACAUGCAAGUCGGACGGCAGCGCGGGCUUCGGCCUGGCGGCGAGUGGCGAACGGGUGAGUAAUACAUCGGAACGUGCCCAGUAGUGGGGGAUAGCUCGGCGAAAGCCGGAUUAAUACCGCAUACGACCUGAGGGUGAAAGCGGGGGACUUUAGGGCCUCGCGCUAUUGGAGCGGCCGAUGGCAGAUUAGCUAGUUGGUGGGGUAAAGGCCUACCAAGGCGACGAUCUGUAGCUGGUCUGAGAGGACGACCAGCCACACUGGGACUGAGACACGGCCCAGACUCCUACGGGAGGCAGCAGUGGGGAAUUUUGGACAAUGGGCGCAAGCCUGAUCAAGCAAUGCCGCGUGUGUGAUGAAGGCCUUCGGGUUGUAAAGCACUUUUGGCAGGAACGAAAAGUGCCGUGCUAAUACCACGGUACGAUGACGGUACCUGCAGAAUAAGCACCGGCUAACUACGUG
rnacentral:rRNA from 1 species